GGCCCACUGAAGAAACAGGAGCUUCCACCAGCCGCCAGUUCCAAGGAACGAGGCAUCCAUCAUCCGCGAGCUGAAGCGCACGCUCUCCCUUCUCACCAACCACCGCCACGCCGUGCGGCCCAUCCUCUGACGACGACGGCCAUGGCGGCGGCGAUGUCGGUGUCGGCCGUGGUCCCGCCGGCGGCGGCGGUGGCGCGCGCGCGGACGCUGCUCUGCGUGCCCGCCACGGCGCGCGCGCCGCGGGAGAUGGCGGCGGAGGUGGCCGCCGCCGCCGCGCUCGGCGCCGACCUGGCGGAGCUCCGCCUCGAUCGCCUAGCCGGGUUCGCCCCGCGCCGGGACCUGCCCGCGCUCCUCGCCAAGCCCCGCACGCUCCCCGCCCUCGUCACAUACAGGCCAAAGUGGGAAGGUGGUGAAUAUGAAGGCGAUGAUGAACCGCGGUUCGAGGCACUUCAAUUGGCAAUGGAACUGGGAGCUGAAUACGUUGAUAUUGAGCUUAAGGUUGCUGACAAAUUUAUUAAAUUCAUGUCCGGAAAGAAACCUGAAAACUGUAAGCUCAUUGUUUCAUCCCAUAACUAUGAUAACACCCCUUCGGCAGAAGAGCUUGCAAGCCUGUUGGCUCAGAUUCAAGCAACAGGAGCUGAUAUAGUAAAAAUUGCGACCACUGCUACUGAAAUUGUUGAUGUUUCAAGAAUGUUUCAAAUACUUGUACACUGCCAAGAAAAGCAGGUGCCGAUCAUAGGACUGGUGAUGAACGACAGAGGUUUUAUUUCUCGUGUUCUCUGCCCCAAAUUCGGUGGAUACCUUACUUUUGGCUCUCUUGAAAAAGGAAAAGAAUCUGCACCUUCACAGCCAACCGCUGCAGACUUGAUCAAUGUGUACAACAUUAGACAGAUAGGCCCAGAUACUAAGGUUUUUGGUAUUAUUGGAAAUCCUGUUGGACACAGUAAAAGCCCGAUUUUGCAUAAUGAAGCUUUCAGAUCAGUGGGUUUGAAUGCUGUGUAUGUGCCAUUUUUGGUGGAUGACUUGGCUAAAUUUCUUUCGACCUACUCUUCACCAGACUUUGCUGGCUUCAGUUGUACAAUUCCCCACAAGGAAGCUGCAGUUAGGUGCUGUGAUGAGGUUGAUCCUAUUGCCAGGGACAUUGGAGCUGUUAAUACAAUUAUUAGAAAGCCUGAUGGGAAACUUGUAGGCUACAAUACUGAUUAUGUCGGUGCAAUUUCUGCUAUUGAAGAUGGAAUAAGAGCAACACAACAAACGCAUUCUACCGUGUCACCACUGGCUGGAAGGCUUUUCGUUGUUAUUGGUGCUGGUGGUGCAGGGAAAGCACUUGCUUACGGUGCAAAAGAGAAGGGAGCAAGAGUUGUAAUAGCAAACCGCACUUUCGCACGUGCUCAAGAACUUGGUAACUUAAUCGGUGGGCCUGCUUUGACUCUCACGGAGUUAGAAAACUACCAUCCGGAGGAAGGGAUGAUUCUUGCAAACACAACAGCAAUAGGAAUGCAUCCAAAUGUCAAUGAAACUCCUCUAUCCAAGCAAGCGCUUAAAUCUUAUGCUGUUGUCUUCGAUGCGGUCUACACACCGAAAGAGACAAGACUUCUUAGGGAAGCUGCAGAAUGUGGAGCCACAGUUGUUAGCGGUUUGGAGAUGUUCAUAAGGCAAGCAAUGGGUCAAUUUGAGCAUUUCACGGGCAUGCCAGCUCCAGAUAGCUUGAUGCGUGAUAUUGUUCUGAGAAAGACAUGAUAAGGUUGUUUGAAUUACUAAAAUGUGUUGGAUAUCUGAAUGAGGUGGCGAUACAUUGUCUGGAGAUAAACGGUUGACGAUAAAUUCCGAGCGCUGUCAAAUUCUUUGGACAACCCUAGCGCUGUGAAGGGAGACAGGAGCACAUCACUCAAGCCUCGCUUGUGAUAGACACAUCCAUGUCUGUGGGUUUUCGUACAAGUUUUUGGAUUUGGAAUCAGCAAUCAGCUUGAGUAGAUUGUGAGAUGGCCUCGCUUGAAAUUUUGCAUUGUAUUAGCCCAAAUAUAUUUGUUUGAAGUUGGUGCAUCAGAAAACAGCAAGGAGGCUUUGCUUGCCGGAUAGCAUGAGUUUUGUACUAGAAUACUAGUAAUAAUAAUGAUAAAGUAAUAUACACCUGUGGAAUCA